AACCUCCGCAAUGUGAGAAAUCGCGACGGGGGGAUCCCAAGUGCCAUUCUUAACGGGAUGGCUUUUCAUUAGUGUAAAGAGCUUUUGGAAUAAGGGCUGGGCAAGACCGGUGCCAGCCGCCGCGGUAACACCGGCAGCUCUAGUGGUAGCAGUUUUUAUUGGGCCUAAAGCGUCCGUAGCCGGUUUAAUAAGUCUCUGGUGAAAUCCUGUAGCUUAACUGUGGGAAUUGCUGGAGAUACUAUUAGACUUGAGACCGGGAGAGGUUAGAGGUACUCCCAGGGUAGAGGUGAAAUUCUGUAAUCCUGGGAGGACCGCCUGUUGCGAAGGCGUCUAACUGGAACGGUUCUGACGGUGAGGGACGAAAGUUAGGGGCGCGAACCGGAUUAGAUACCCGGGUAGUCCUAACUGUAAACGAUGCGGACUUGGUGUUGGGGUGGCUUUGAGCUGCUCCAGUGCCGAAGGGAAGCUGUUAAGUCCGUCCCCUGGGAAGUACGGUCGCAAGACUGAAACUUAAAGGAAUU
rnacentral:rRNA from 1 species